rnacentral:rRNA from 1 species
GACGAACGCUGGCGGCGUGCUUAACACAUGCAAGUCGAACGGUGACGAGGAGCUUGCUCCUCUGAUCAGUGGCGAACGGGUGAGUAACACGUGAGCAACCUACCCUUGACACUGGGAUAACAGUUGGAAACAGCUGCUAAUACCGGAUACGACCUCGGCAGGCAUCUGCUGGGGUGGAAAGCUCCGACGGUCAAGGAUGGGCUCGCGGCCUAUCAGCUUGUCGGUGAGGUAACGGCUCACCAAGGCGACGACGGGUAGCCGGCCUGAGAGGGCGACCGGCCACACUGGGACUGAGAUACGGCCCAGACUCCUACGGGAGGCAGCAGUGGGGAAUAUUGCGCAAUGGGCGAAAGCCUGACGCAGCAACGCCGCGUGCGGGAUGAAGGCCUUCGGGUUGUAAACCGCUUUCAGCAGGGACGAAGGAUUUCUGACGGUACCUGCAGAAGAAGCACCGGCUAACUACGUGCCAGCCGCCGCGGUAAAAC